rnacentral:rRNA from 1 species
GACGAACGCUGGCGGCGUGCCUAAUACAUGCAAGUUGAGCGCUGAAGGUUGGUACUUGUACCAACUGGAUGAGCAGCGAACGGGUGAGUAACGCGUGGGGAAUCUGCCUUUGAGCGGGGGACAACAUUUGGAAACGAAUGCUAAUACCGCAUAAAAACUUUAAACACAAGUUUUAAGUUUGAAAGAUGCAAUUGCAUCACUCAAAGAUGAUCCCGCGUUGUAUUGGCUAGUUGGUGAGGUAAAGGCUCACCAAGGCGAUGAUACAUAGCCGACCUGAGAGGGUGAUCGGCCACAUUGGGACUGAGACACGGCCCAAACUCCUACGGGAGGCAGCAGUAGGGAAUCUUCGGCAAUGGACGAAAGUCUGACCGAGCAACGCCGCGUGAGUGAAGAAGGUUUUCGGAUUGUAAAACUCUGUUGGUAGAGAAGAACGUUGGUGAGAGUGGAAAGCUCAUCAAGUGACGGUAACUACCCAGAAAGGGACGGCUAACUACGUG